GUCGUUGUGUUCCAGCUCCAGUUGCUCCUGCCGCAUUUUCUGGUUUAAACAGAUUAUACAGACGCAGACAAAUGGGCUGGGGAUUAUCUGAAGUAACAGCUAGAUUAGUAGAUUAGAGGUAAAUUAUAACAAUAGAGUGAGACAACAUUUUACUUAAAAGCGAGAGCAUCAAUAAAUGCAAACGUUUGACUUUUUCUGAUCGGGGGGCGGGGACAAGGAGGAAGCAGCUUCCCACAGACUGCUGCACAUUUCUUACACAACAGGUUACACAAUGAGCAGAUUACAAGUCUCCUCGUUUCUUAGCACCAGAGCCCCCCUGACUGUUAAACGAAUACAGUAAUCCAGGUUAGGCUUCUCUCUGUGGUCAUUUUAUUUCUUUCUCGGAUAUUUCUACCUUUGUGCAGCAGGUGGUUGAUUCUACUAUGAAUCACCUGACUUCUGAAGACAAUUUGGGUGCACUGGAUUUUCCUUAGAGGUAUGAGAAAUGCAUGCAUCAUUUUUCAGAAAUUUUUUAUAAAGAAAAAUUGAAAACCUUGUCUCCUUUUCCUUCCACCUCAUAGUUAUGCUUUACUUUGUGCUGUUCUGUCACAUACAAUCGCAAUAAAUUACGUUAAUUUA